rnacentral:rRNA from 1 species
CCGGACCUUUUCCCCCCAUUAUCCUUGGUUUGGGACCGGGGGGGGAAAGGGGUGGGACCUUCCCUCAUUGGGGGGGGAUACCUUUUUGGAACGGUAGUUAAUCCCCCAUAACGGUUUUUUUCCCCAGGUAGAUGCUGAAAGGACCAAGUGCUUCCCUUAGAGAUGGACCUGCGUUGUUAUUAGCUAGUUGGGGGGCGUAACGGUUCACCAAGGCAUGGAUACAUAGCCGGCCUGAGGAGGGUGAUCGGCCACACUGGGACUGAGACACGCCCCAGAUUCUUACGGGAGGCAGCAGUAGGGAAUCUUCGGCAAUGGGGGGGAACCCUGACCGAGCAACGCCCGCGCGAGUGAAGAAGGUUUUCGGAUCGUAAAGCUCUGUUGUAAGAGAAGAACGUGUGUGAGAGUGGAAAAUUCACACAGUGACGGUAACUUACCAGAAAGCGACGGCUAACUACGUGCCAGCAGCCGCGGUAAUACGUAGGUCCCGAGCGUUGUCCGGAUUUAUUGGGCGUAAAGCGAGCGCAGGCGGUUUGAUAAGUCUGAAGUAAAAGGCUGUGGCUUAACCAUAGUAUGCUUUGGAAACUGUCAAACUUGAGUGCAGAAGGGGAGAGUGGAAUUCCAUGUGUAGCGGUGAAAUGCGUAGAUAUAUGGAGGAACACCGGUGGCGAAAGCGGCUCUCUGGUCUGUAACUGACGCUGAGGCUCGAAAGCGUGGGGAGCGAACAGGAUUAGAUACCCUGGUAGUCCACGCCGUAAACGAUGAGUGCUAGGUGUUGGGUCCUUUCACGGGACUCCAGUGCCGCAG